GAGUUUGAUCCUGGCUCAGAAUGAACGCUGGCGGCGUGCUUUACACAUGCAAGUCGAGCGAGGCGUCCCGCAAGGGAUAGUCGAGCGGCGAACGGGUGAGUAACGCGUGGAUAACCUGCCCUGAGGUGGGGGAUAACCAAGGGAAACUUUGGCUAAUACCGCAUGAUACCGAGAGGUCAAAGGGGGCUCGCAAGGGCUCUCGCCAUAGGAGGGGUCCGCGUACGAUUAGCUAGUUGGUAGGUUAAUGGCCUACCAAGGCGACGAUCGUUAGCCGGCCUGAGAGGGUGAUCGGCCACACUGGAACUGAGACACGGUCCAGACUCCUACGGGAGGCAGCAGUGGGGAAUUUUGCGCAAUGGGGGAAACCCUGACGCAGCAACGCCGCGUGGAGGAUGAAGGUCCUUGGAUUGUGAACUCCUGUCAGCAGGGAAAAAGCGACUUGACCUCAUACGUCAGGGAGUUGAUUGUACCUGCAGAGGAAGCCCCGGCUAACUCUGUGCCAGCCGCCGCAGU
rnacentral:rRNA from 1 species